GCGCUUGUAGUGCAAUGGUUAGCACGCGCCCCUGAAAAGGGUGGAAUACGGGUUCGAGUCCCGCGCUGACGUCCAAGUUUUGCA